CCGUUUCUCCCUCUCUCCCCGCCCCCCGGCCCCCCCACCAACCAUCCUCCCUCCCCUCUCACUCACCGACUCCUCUUCUUUCUCCAUCCCGGUCGGCAUCUGCGGCACGGCCCUAUUGAUGGAGACGCAAUCCUGGAGGUCCGGCAGAUCCUUCGCCCGGUCAACGUUGAUGUUAUCACCCAACAACCUUCCACCAUCCAGGACUGCAAAUGAAUAAACAAGUUAAAACACCUUCGGUUGCAUCAGAGUGUCAAAAUUAAUUAUCAGUAAAUUUUAUUACUCCUCAUUUUGUAGCUGUCAAAAUCAGUCGCUGGUUGACAUUGGCCACAGUCUGUGAAACAGACUUGGGGAAUCUCCAUUACGGGCCUCCAUCACUGCGACUCCCACAUCCAAGCUGGAGACAUGGGCCUGGUGAUGCACGGGUUCUGUACCUCCUAUUCCCCAUCCAUCGCUCCUCCAGAUGCUGCCGUUGAUCCAUCGUCCAUCUCUUUCACUGAUGCCUCCUCUCCUUCAGGUGCCCAGGCUAGCUGUGGACCUGGAGCGUCGGCUCAGACUGUGAAUCCAGACUAGGGGAGUCAGAUCUCCUUGCUCGCUGAGAGAAGGGUUGUGGUUGUUACUGGCUGGGCUAACAUUAUUGACCAUCUAUGUAAACCUUGGGAGAGAGUGAUGAGCUCUCUUCUUGAACUGCUGCAGUUCAUUUGAUGCAGGUGGGCUCACAGGGACCGUAGGGUGGGAGUUCCAUGAUUUUGAUUCAACAACACUGAAGGAACAGUGAUGUAUUUUCAAAUCUUAAUUCUGAGUAGCUUGGAGGGGGCUUUGCAGGUGGUAUUGUCCCCACGUAUCUGCUGCUUUUGUCCUUCUAAAUAGUGGUGGUCAUGGGUUUGCAACAUGCUGUCUAAGGUGCCUUUUACAAUGUAUGAUGGUAUUGUGCCUUUAAGAGAUGUCUUCUGCGCUAUUUCUCUUGCAAAGGGGUAUUGUCACAGUGAUGUCAAAAUAUCUCCUUCAGAUAAACAGCUUGGAGUCAUCCCUGAGUUCUUUUAAAAUGAGACAAGAGAAUCAUGAGUGGGCGGAGUCAGGGCUCACAAAGACCCAGGAAGGGUUUUUGUUUUGCUUUUAGUGAGAAGGUUUCCGCUGGCUGCUGAACUGAAAGCCCGCGUUCGCACCUGCUAGUGAAGUCUUGGAUAGUGAGGCUUUGUCUUAAAAAUGAAAAGAGGCAGAUUAUUUCUUCUGGACUGAAGAGAGACUGCAUGUGAGAAUCAUUACUGUUUUGCUGAAUUGCAUUUUUGCCAAAGAGUGUGUUUAUGGGAUGCUGUCAAUAUUGGAACAGUUGAUGACUGGUGGUUAAAUAAUACAUUAUCUUGUUAAAUAUUUGUACGAAGUUUUGUCAACUUUUUUUGUA